rnacentral:rRNA from 1 species
GAAAGUGGCGCACGGGUGCGUAACGCGUAUGCAACCUACCUUUAUCAGGGGGAUAGCCCGGAGAAAUCCGGAUUAAUACCGCAUAAAAUCACAGAAUAGCAUUAUUUAAUGAUCAAACAUUUAUGGGAUAAAGAUGGGCAUGCGUGUCAUUAGCUAGUUGGCGGGGUAACGGCCCACCAAGGCGACGAUGACUAGGGGAUCUGAGAGGAUGACCCCCCACACUGGUACUGAGACACGGACCAGACUCCUACGGGAGGCAGCAGUAAGGAAUAUUGGUCAAUGGAGGCAACUCUGAACCAGCCAUGCCGCGUGCAGGAAGACUGCCCUAUGGGUUGUAAACUGCUUUUAUCCGGGAAUAAACCUCUGCUCGUGAGCAGAGCUGAAUGUACCGGAAGAAUAAGGAUCGGCUAACUCCGUGCCAGCAGCCGCGGUAAUACGGAGGAUCCAAGCGUUAUCCGGAUUUAUUGGGUUUAAAGGGUGCGUAGGCGGCCUGUUAAGUCAGGGGUGAAAGACGGUAGCUCAACUAUCGCAGUGCCCUUGAUACUGAUGGGCUUGAAUGGACUAGAGGUAGGCGGAAUGAGA